rnacentral:lncRNA from 1 species
CAGCCCGCCUCCGGGGCAGCUUGUUGGGCUCUCCCCCGCCCCUUCUGGCAGAGCAGGUCGCAGGGAGCUCGGGUUUCUGCCGAGGACCCGCGUUGCCGGGCCGCCCGCGCUCUGCCGGCUCGGCAAAUAGGCCUUUCCCGCUUGCUGAGAAAGGGAAAAGCGCGUGGCCGGGGCCGUGCGGACAGCGAGUGUGUUCGUGUCGAGGGAGCCAGGUCGUCCCCCAGGAGCCAAACUGCGCCUGACCACGGCGUAAACCUUGCCCGGCCGCUCCCAGGCGGAGAAUAGGUUCUGGGGAAGUGGAGCCUGGAAUCCGCGGCCGACAUCCCCAGAGGUGGCGCGGCUGCUGGGAGCCCGCGGGUAGCCGCGAGAAGCAGGCCGCGGGAAGCUCUGCGCCUCUCCUCCAAAGAGGAGCUUGGAAGUUCUGAACCCUUUACUUUAAAGUGAUUGAGCUUGUUCCAUUGGACAGCGGCUCCACCCUGUCCCAACCGCCGUCACCUUCCCUUGUCACUCUAAGUGUGCGUGUAAGACGCUCACGACUCGCGGACGGUGCGUUUGGAGACUGUGCUGCAAACGGGAGCAUCCAGCGCCUGAGCUGCUGUCGCGAUUUUGGAUGAGUUCUGAUGUGAGAACCCAGACCUAGAGGAUUGGUUUGUGCUUUUUUGCCCCCAGCCCUGUAGGUUAAAGUCGCUAGUGAUAGCUUUUCCCAUGAAAUCUGUCCUUCCGUGCCUGCCUCCCUUCAAGGAAGUCCUCGCAGGAGCCGGGCUCCACCCUGGGAGCCUGCGGGGAAAUGAGGAUAAAGGCUCAAGGCCUUCACGAGUUGAGAUGAUUAUUAAUUUGGGCUGCUCAGAGCGAGUGUUCGACGC